rnacentral:misc_RNA from 1 species
GAUGAAGAACGUAGCGAAACGCGAUAGUUAAUGUGAAUUGCAGAAUUCAGAGAAUCAUCGAGUCUUUGAACGCACAUUGCGCCCCCUGGUAUUCCGGGGGGCAUGCCUGUCCGAGCGUCAUUGCUGCCCAUCAAGCGCGGCUUGUGUGUUGGGCCGCCGUCCGCCUUCCCCCCCGGGGGGAGGGGGACGGGCCCGAAAGGCAGCGGCGGCACCGCGUCCGGUCCUCGAGCGUAUGGGGCUCUGUCACCCGCUCUGGAGGCCCGGCCGGCGCCCGCCGACCCCCAACCUUCUUCUAACCAGGUUGACCUCGGAUCAGGUAGGGAUACCCGCUGAACUUAAGCAUAUCAAUAAGCGGAGGA